AACCUAGCACACCUGCGGUGUGUACCUGCGGAAGGAUCAUUAUUGAAUAAACUUGGCGUGGUUGAGCUGACUCUCUCGGGAGUAUGUGCUCGCUCGUCAUCUUUAUCUUUCCACCUGUGCACUUUUUGUAGAUUUGGAUGUAACUUUCUGAGGCAACUCAGUUGGGAGGAAUGCUAUUUCGAUGGCUUUCCUUGUAUGUCCAAGUCUAUGUUUUCAUAUACUCCAAGUAUGUAACGGAAU
rnacentral:misc_RNA from 1 species